rnacentral:rRNA from 1 species
GACGAACGCUGGCGGCGUGCCUAAUACAUGCAAGUCGAACGCAGUGGGGACGGGUGAGUAACACGUGGGUAACCUCCCAUCAGAGGGGAUAAAACUUGGCAACAGGUGCUAAAACGAUACUGAUGGAUGGAACCGCGGUGCAUUAGCUAGGUGGUGAGGUAACGGCCCACCAAGGCCACGAUGCAUAGCCGACCUGAGAGGGUGGUCGGCCAACGUGGGACUGAGAAACGGCCCAGACUCCUACGGAAGGCAGCAGUAGGGAAUCUUCGGCAAUGGACGAAAGUCUGACCGAGCAACGCCGCGUGAGUGAAGAAGGUUUUCGGAUCGUAAAACUCUGUUGUUAGAGAAGCGUUAUCUAACCAGAAAGCCACGGCUAACUACGUGCCAGCCGCCGCGGUAAUUC